CCUAAAAGCCAUCCCAGUUCGGAUUGCAGGCUGNAACCCGCCUGUAUGAAGUUGGAAUCGCUAGUAAUCGCGGAUCAGCAUGCCGCGGUGAAUACGUUCCCGGGCCUUGUACACACCGCCCGUCACACCAUGAGAGUCGGGAACACCCGAAGUCCGUAGCCUAACCGCAAGGGGGGCGCGGCCGAAGGUGGGUUCGAUAAUUGGGUGAAGUCGUAACAAGGUAAC
rnacentral:rRNA from 1 species